UGGGGAAUAUUGCACAAUGGGCGAAAGCCUGAUGCAGCGACGCCGCGUGAGGGAUGACGGCCUUCGGGUUGUAAACCUCUUUCAGCAGGGACGAAGCGCAAGUGACGGUACCUGCAGAAGAAGCACCGGCUAACUACGUGCCAGCAGCCGCGGUAAUACGUAGGGUGCAAGGGUUGUCCGGAAUUACUGGGCGUAAAGAGUUCGUAGGCGGUUUGUCGCGUCGUUUGUGAAAACCAGCAGCUCAACUGCUGGCUUGCAGGCGAUACGGGCAGACUUGAGUACUGCAGGGGAGACUGGAAUUCCUGGUGUAGCGGUGAAAUGCGCAGAUAUCAGGAGGAACACCGGUGGCGAAGGCGGGUCUCUGGGCAGUAACUGACGCUGAGGAACGAAAGCGUGGGUAGCGAACAGG
rnacentral:rRNA from 1 species